AGAGCUGGCUGCUGUUCCGCUAGCGAGCGGCAUGCUUAGUGAAGAAAAGCUUAAAGGCCGUCUUUGCCCAAAACGCUCUCUGUGCGCACCUGCAUUUCCCCCAGAUUUGCAGAUGGAGUCUCACUCUGUUGCCAGGCUGGAGUGCAGUGGUGCCAUCUCAGCUCACUACAACCUCCACCUCCGGGGUUCAAGCGAUUCUCCUGCCUCAGCCUUCCGAGUAGCUGGGACUACAGGUGCCUGCCACCAUUCCCAGUUAAUUUUUGUAUUUUUAGUAGAGAUGACAUUUCACUAUGUUGGCCAGGCUGGUUUUGAACUCCUGACCUCGUGAUCCACCUGCCUCAGCUUCCCAAAGUGCUGGGAUUACAGGCAUGAGCCACCACGCCUGGCCCAAAUCCUAUUUUUCAAUAUUUAUUUCCUAAUUAUGUCCUACUAGGUUAGGUUUUAUUUUCAUUUGUUACAUAUUUAUUGGGUUAUUUCCUUUAUGCUAGGAACUUUAUUAGUAUAAGGAUACAGAUAAGGUCCAUUCUCUGUUCUCAAGAAUCUGAGUCUACAGGCAGAAGACAAAAUGCAGUACAGAAUUAUGGA
rnacentral:lncRNA from 1 species